rnacentral:rRNA from 1 species
GCUUAUCCUUCGGGAGGGCGCUUACCACUUUGUGAUUCAUGACUGGGGUGAAGUCGUAACAAGGUAACCGUAGGGGAACCUGCGGUUGGAUCACCUCCUUA